rnacentral:rRNA from 1 species
AUACGUAGGGUGCAAGCGUUAAUCGGAAUUACUGGGCGUAAAGCGUGCGCAGGCGGUUUUGUAAGGCAGUGGUGAAAUCCCCGGGCUCAACCUGGGAACUGCCAAUGUGACUGCAAGGCUGGAGUGCGGCAGAGGGGGGUGGAAUUCCGCGUGUAGCAGGGAAAUGCGUAGAUAUGCGGAGGAACACCGAUGGCGAAGGCAAUCCCCUGGGCCUGCACUGACGCUCAUGCACGAAAGCGUGGGGAGCAAACAGGAUUAGAUACCCUGGUAGUCCACGCCCUAAACGAUGUCAACUGGUUGUUGGGGAUUUAUUUUCUCAGUAACGAAGCUAACGCGUGAAGUUGACCGCCUGGGGAGUACGGCCGCAAGGUUAAAACUCAAAUGAAUUGGCGGGG